GUAGGUGGCAAGCGUUGUCCGGAAUUAUUGGGCGUAAAGCGCGCGCAGGUGGUUCUUUAAGUCUGAUGUGAAAGCCCACGGCUCAACCGUGGAGGGUCAUUGGAAACUGGAGAACUUGAGUACAGAAGAGGAAAGCGGAAUUCCACGUGUAGCGGUGAAAUGCGUAGAGAUGUGGAGGAACACCAGUGGCGAAGGCGGCUUUCUGGUCUGUAACUGACGCUGAGGCGCGAAAGCGUGGGGGAGCAAACAGGAUUAGAUACCCUGGUAGUCCACGCCGUAAACGAUGAGUGCUAAGUGUUAGGGGGUUUCCGCCCCUUAGUGCUGCAGCUAACGCAUUAAGCACUCCGCCUGGGAGUACGGCCGCAAGGCUG
rnacentral:rRNA from 1 species